UCAUAAUUAGGAUCCAUGCUUUAUCGACCGUCCUCACAAACCCAUGGUGACCCACUUCAUCCCAAUUCCACACAAACAAAGCAAGGCAUUGUCACAUCACAACUAAUCAAGCAUUGCAAUUAAAUGCAGACAUAUUGAACAGUUAAACAUCAGAAUGCAAUGCACAAUUAGGCAUUCAUACUCAAAUGCAAAUAAAUAAAUAAUAUUAACAAUAAACAACAAUGAUAGAAUAAAUAACAAUAAUAAUAAUAAUAAUAAUAAACAAUAAUAAUGAAAAUAAAUAAGUAAUUGAAUAAUUAAAUAAAUAAUGAUGAUAGUAAAAUAAUUAGAGCACUUUAUUUACUAUGUAUUAAGUUAUAGAAUUAUUCUAAAUAAACUUAUUAAUUAUAUUGUUAAUUAAAACUAGUCUAAGUUCUAUCGGAAUUUCGGCAGCACCUCCCCUGAAAAUUGGACUAUCUACCUGCUCAAAUAUCACAAUAUUAUAUAUAUUUAUCAAUUAAUGCACACAGCCCAUCUGUCGGGCAAUCAACAAUUUAAAAUCCCAUCCUCCUUCCAAAAACAACAAUAUCAACACUCAACCAUUAAUUUACAACAAUCAUGCUCCAAUGGUAAUAGCAAUCAUUCUUUACUUCAUAUAAUUAUAACUAGCUUCAAUAGCUAAUUACCAAACAAAUGAAGGCUUUAAUACAUAUAUAAUCCAAUAAAACUUAUAUCAUUAAGUUAAUUUCAAUUGUUUUCAGUUGGUAGUUUCUUAGUAUCUAACUAUGAUAGUAUUCUUUAGCAAGCUUUCAUUUCUUCAUUCUUGCUUAAAGAUAUUAACCACAUUUAUAUCUUUGUUAAAUUUUAUAUUAGCCAAUAAGAACAAAUGGAUUAGUUUAUCUAAAGCUCCUCAAUUAUUCAAAAUAGUUGUUGUUCAUGACAAUAGGUCAUUCUCAACCUAGCUUAUAUAUAAUAUAUGAAUCAAUUCAUUCAAAUUCAAUUUAAUUGACUAAUGAUUACUAAGUUUAGAAUUUAUACCGAAAAUAGGAAAUUAAUCUUAGAACGUACCAAUUGAAAUUUGGGUGACGAUUCCACGAUCAGCGUGAAGAAAAGAGAAUUCUGCCUCUCAGGGCCUCGCCGGAGUGUCGCCGGCCGGUCACCGGACGGUGGCUGGAAAGUGAUUUACUGGUCGAAAUUCCCAAAAUUCACACCAAAGCGCUCGAAAUGUUACAAGGAGCUCAAAUCCACUGUUUGUUUAUGAGAUUGGCGAGCCAACUAGCUGGACUCGGGCUCCACAGCCACUGCAUCUCGCCUGAGCUGUAGCAAUCGCAGGAGUCGCGAACGGAGAGAGGCGUGACGUCGAGCACGAUCAGUGGCUGGGAUCGACGGCGCCUGAGCCGUGGCUGUGCUGCUGCAUCCAAUCGAACGAAAAUAGAGGGAGAGGAGAGCUAAGGCACGACGGUGAAGGGUAGCGGCGCAACCGUUGUGUUUGUCGCAGGCGACCGGUAACCACGACAGAGAAGGAGAGAGGCGAGCGGUGAACGCUGUCGAAGUUUAUGGCCGGUGGCCGGAAAACGAGAAAGAGAGGGAGAAGGGACUGCCGCUCACCUGAAAAACGAAGGAAAGAAGAAGAAGAGAGGAAGAAAAAGAAAUUACGUCGGUUUCUAGAUCAUUCCGGUUCGAUUCGAAUCGGGUUGGUCUGAUUCAACGAUUUGGCUCGAUUCUUGCUCGGUUUGCAGGUUUUUCACUUGGUUUUCGGAUUAUUUGUGUGGUUCUCGAUAAAUUAAACUGAUUUUCGGGUCUGGUUCAGUUUAUUUUAACUGUUUAGUUUGGUUCCGUAAUAUUUUUUCCAUUUACUCGGUAAUAAAAAUAUUAAUAGUAACA
rnacentral:lncRNA from 1 species